rnacentral:tRNA from 1 species
GCGAAAGUAGCUCAGCUGGUAGAGCGAUAGCCUUCCAAGCUAUAGGUCGCGGGUUCGAACCUCGUCUUUCGCUCUAGUG